rnacentral:lncRNA from 1 species
AAUUUUAAUUUAAACGCAUUGGUAGUAUGAAAUAGAACGAAAUAAGUCAUAGAGGAUGAGAUAGAAUUAAUUCAUAACAAAUUAAACUAUGAAAAUCGUUAGAAAUUGAAAUUUAUUAAUAUCGACAUCUGUCCUUAUAAUAAUUAAUUAGUUUCCACGGUCUUUUCUUGAAAAUUAUUCUGCGUUUUGUCGAACUAGAAUAAUGCACGAAAGAUUAACUCAUCGUUGCUUUUAAUUAGAUAGCAAGAAUGUAAAACAAUGGAAUUUGCUACUCGACACGAAAAUUCAAAAAUUUUCGAAUACUAUCAAAUCAUCUUAUAUCCAUUACACUUGUUGAAGGGUGGCGGGCGGUAAAAUCCUCGUAUCCGUUCAUCUUUUUGCUUCGGCAGUAUAUGCUGCCUAAUAAAUUUUAGCGUUCGGUAAACUGAGGUUCCUAAAAUAAACUACGGUUUACGUGCAUGAAUGGAACAUACUUGGAACCGAAAUUGCUGAAGUGGCUGUUUUGUGCGGAUGCCGGUUGUCAGGUCAAUUCCGUGCAGAACAUUCUGCUCGGUACCUGGUAGUUGUUAAUUUCAAAGACCGACAAUAGGAGAGGUGAGGGGAAUUUUGUAGGAUGGCGGCAUUUCCGUUCGCCGAGUUUAAUGGAAGUGGAAGCAUGCAUGCUUUGUUGAUGUCUAUUUUGUCAAAGAAAUCUUAUCACCCAACAUCCUAUCGGGUUGGAGGAUAUCGGAACCAACUUAUCCGGGUGUUCUGUGUGUGGGCAUGCAUUGAGCUACACAGCAUCAAUCCGUGGUAUUCUGGAAUGUAUACUUUUGAAACCGGCCGAUUACUGGUUUUAAAACAACGACAUCGCGUGCUUUCCAUGGAAUUGAAAAAACCAAACAGCUCGACGAUUAAACCGUGUUUUACUUGGGCCAAUUCUGUAUUGUAUAAUGACAUACUGAUUUUUAUUUUCGCAAAUUUCAUUUUGAAUGCAUACCGUAUUGAGUUCUCUGCAGUAUGAGUUUGUCUCUUAACUACAAUUUUGUCUCAAUUAGUAAUGUCAACGUUAUUAACUUAAGAUUUCCGAGUGGGUCUAACGAGGGUAUUACCACUUUUGCAACUUUUUUAUGAACUGAUACCCCUUUAGUAUAAUUGUCUGUUUUUGCAGUUGUCCGCUAGUGCUAAUUCUUUUACUUUAAAGUGCAAAUCUUAAACCAAAUUGACCCAUUACUUUCCCUCAGUUUUCUAACACCGCGUUACCUUAAUCCUGAAAUAGAAAAUUUUAAUUGUUAAUAUUUUUUUACUAUUUUUUUAUAUUUCCUUAUUGGAUUCAUAUCAGUUACAAAGCAAAUUGGACGGUUUACUUAUAAACAUAGUGUUUUGCAUUUCCGAUUUCUUCCUGUUUUGCUAUUUUGUUUUGAAAUAAGAUUAAGCAGGUGGUGAAUGUGCCGGUUGCCAGGGAACGUCAACACCAAAGCUUUUGAUCUUAAUUAUUAAUUUUUUUUCUAUAACAAAGCCACCAAUCUGACAAACUGGUAGUUUACUAUAUAUAUUGCUCCAUUGCAUACUGAAUUAUCUGUGUGUGUAAACCACCGGUACUCAGUUUUCUUAAUUCUAAUUGCAACCGCAUUCGGACUUCAUUAAUUUGCAUAAAGCAGCGAUUAAGACUUACUUUAUCAUUCAUUGCUUUCCUUUUCUCUCAUAUUUUGAACGCAAGGAAAUCACAAGAUGGCAUUUGGGAGCAAAAUUUUAAACAUUGGAUCUAAGUCUGAUGAGUAUAACGACGAUGCAGUACCUCUCGACCAAGUCGAAGAGGGUGCGCAAGAGCGUCGCUAUUACUUGGGGUUGACAAAGCGCGAAUUUAAACUUAUGAUGCUUGCAGGUGUCGGGUUUUUCCUUGACAGUUACGAUCUUUUUAUCAUCAAUUUAGUUACUCCCAUUUUUGAAUAUCUUUAUUGGGGUGGUAUUGAAAAAGGUCCCACAGGAAAAGGCCAUUAUCCCUCUGGUAUUCGUGGUCUUGUAAAUGCGUCAGCCAAUAUUGGUAACAUUUUUGGACAACUGUUAUUUGGUUUUAUGGGUGAUUUCUUUGGCCGUAAAUUUGUCUACGGUAAAGAAAUGGUUAUUGUUAUCAUCGCUACUGUUCUGGUUAUCGCUAUGCCUAAAAGCAUUCAUUCUCCUCUUUCGAAAAUGAUGUGGGUUUUCUGUUGGCGUUGGUUGCUCGGUGUAGGUAUUGGUGGUGAUUAUCCAAUGUCUGCCGCUAUCACUUCUGAGCGUAGUAAAAUUAAACGACGUGGUACACUUAUUUCUUUAAUUUUUGCCUUCCAAGGUUUCGGAACUCUUGCUGGUGCCAUUGUUACCAUCAUCCUUUUGGGUUGUUUCGAACAUCCAUUGAAUCGGGAAGGUCAUUAUCAUAAACUCGAAGGUGUCUGGCGUCUUCAAUUUGGUCUUGCUUUGGUUCCUGCUAUUGGUGUUCUUAUUCCCCGUCUCAUCAUGAAAGAAUCUAAAUCAUACGAGAAUUCUAAAGCACUUAAUAGUGCUGAAGGAAAAGAUCCAAAGGCAUUCUUCAAUACCGAUGAUGAGGACAAUAUGAAGAAGUCAUCUAGCCAUGGUGACUCCGAGGUUGUCGAAGCUUCUGAUCGUUAUGCUAAUCAAGCAGAUGCUGCUGACGCUGAAGUUGAUAACAUUGAAAAACAAUUUGCCGCAGUUACAACCCCUGAAAACAGCAGUGGAUUUAUCACUUACUUCAGACAAUGGCGUCAUUUUAAGCAUCUUUUGGGUACAUCUGUUUGUUGGUUUCUGUUGGAUAUUGCCUUUUACGGUGUCAAUCUUAAUCAAUCUGUCAUUCUCAAGAAUAUUGGCUUCAGUACUGGUACGAACGAAUACCGCACAUUGAUGAAAAACGCAAUUGGCAACUUGAUUAUCGCUGUUGCCGGCUAUGUUCCUGGAUACUGGUUCAACGUCUUCCUUGUUGAAAUUCUUGGACGUAAAUGGAUUCAACUACAAGGCUUCGUGAUUACUGGUUUGAUGUUUGCAAUUUUGGCAGGACGUUGGAACGAAAUUUCCACUGGUGGUCGAUUUGCUUGUUUUGUUAUUGCCCAACUGUUUUCUAACUUUGGUCCCAACUCCACCACUUUUAUUUAUCCCGCUGAGGUUUUCCCUGCACGCGUACGUGGUACUGCUCAUGGUGUUUCAGCUGCUUUGGGUAAAUGUGGCGCUAUUCUUGCAUCACUUCUUUUUAACUUUUUGACCGGUGUUAUUGGAUAUGGUAACGUUAUGUGGAUUUUCUGCGGAUGCAUGUGGGGUGGCAUUCUUUUCACACUUUUGCUUCCUGAAACAAAGGGUCGUGAUGCUGAUGAAAUUGAUAGGUUGGAAUUAUUUUAUGGCAAGGACGGCAAAGUUCAAUGUGAUAGCAAGUGGAAGAGCUGGUAUUUUAAUGGAAUCUUUUAA